GACGAACGCUGGCGGCGUGCCUAAUACAUGCAAGUAGAACGCUGAAGGAGGAGCUUGCUUCUCUGGAUGAGUUGCGAACGGGUGAGUAACGCGUAGGUAACCUGCCUGGUAGCGGGGGAUAACUAUUGGAAACGAUAGCUAAUACCGCAUAAGAGUAGAUGUUGCAUGACAUUUGCUUAAAAGGUGCAAUUGCAUCACUACCAGAUGGACCUGCGUUGUAUUAGCUAGUUGGUGAGGUAACGGCUCACCAAGGCAACGAUACAUAGCCGACCUGAGAGGGUGAUCGGCCAAACUGGGACUGAGACACGGCCCAGACCCCUACGGGAGGCAGCAGUAGGGAAUCUUCGGCAAUGGACGGAAGUCUGACCGAGCAACGCCGCGUGAGUGAAGAAGGUUUUCGGAUCGUAAAGCUCUGUUGUAAGAGAAGAACGAGUGUGAGAGUGGAAAGUUCACACUGUGACGGUAUCUUACCAGAAAGGGACGGCUAACUACGUA
rnacentral:rRNA from 1 species